rnacentral:rRNA from 1 species
UACGUAGGUCCCGAGCGUUGUCCGGAUUUAUUGGGCGUAAAGCGAGCGCAGGUGGUUUAAUAAGUCUGAUGUAAAAGGCAGUGGCUCAACCAUUGUGUGCAUUGGAAACUGUUAGACUUGAGUGCAGUAGAGGAGAGUGGAAUUCCACGUGUAGCGGUGAAAUGCGUAGAUAUGUGGAGGAACACCAGUGGCGAAGGCGACUCUCUGGACUGUAACUGACACUGAGGCUCGAAAGCGUGGGUAGCAAACAGG